UCUAUAAAAAUACAAACAUAUUGAUUAAGUUACGACGGGAAUUUACACGACGAAAGAUUGAAGUCGUUUGAAUAAUGCAGCAUAACAGUCGUAACGUUGCUACAGCUUGCUCGUAAAUGCUCGUAAAUGAAGGCACGUUCGAAAGUCUGGCGCAGUAUACGAAAGAGAUGGAGAAUAUUUGAAAAUUAACGUUUUCCGUAUUUCCUUUCAUCGAUUAAUAAUAAUUACUGAUGAAACGAAUUAUUUCUAGUUAUUCCAAAUGAUAACUGCAUAAGCAUCAAAUUUCAUCGAAUCGAUUGAACCUAAGCACAUAUUGCAAGGCACCGUAAGAAAAAUUCCACGUUCAAAGCCACUCGUACGCAUUAAUAAGAUUGAGAUAAGAGAAAAGUAAGAGGAAAAAAACGAAAAGAAAAGAAAAAAAAAAAAAAAAAAAGAGAAAGGAAAAAAGAAAUCUGUAUUCCUUGAGUAUGAAAAAUUUCAUACCUUGGAUGAGUGCAACACAGGAUGGGGUUCAGCGAGCAUCUGUAAGCAACGUCCUAAUCCAUUUACUGCAAUAAUCUAAUGUCGACUGCGAAUGAAAAAAUUCGAGAAACACGGAGGAAAGAGGAGCACUCGUCGGAAAAGUGUUUUAAGAGUUAAUUAAGAGCUGCAAAUUGUAGCUUGUAAAUUAUUAAACAUGCCGAUGACAUAGAACGCAACUCUUUCUUCUCUUCGAUCUUUACGAUAGACGAUUCGAGGGUUUAAUAAAAAUCAUCGACGAUGAGAAAGCAAUAUCAUUGUCGUAUCUAUGGCUAUUAAGGAAAAUGAAAAAUAAAAUCAAACGUAAUAAUAAAUAAUUUGUAUAAACUUUACCCUUUCGCCCAAACUUGACACUUGAGAGCAUGUCGUUUGAAUGCCCGUUGACAUUGGCGCGAGCUACGAUCUAGGAUUCCUGUUAAGGGAAAGACAGCUUGGUACUCGGGAUUGCAUGUACCUUUAACCGUCGAUGUUCUGUCUGCAGGAGGAUUGUCCGAGGGAUAGGGAAACUCAAACAUGACGUAAGUAUCAGCAUCCCGUGGAUAAUUGAUACCCCUUAUUAUCGAAAUUUCAAUAUCGCUAUCGUUCAAGUCGGUACAACUCCUAGAAGAUAAAUAAGAUAAAUAAGAUAAUUGAUGUUAUUUGAUUUGAUAGAAAGAGAGAAUAAAAAGUCUCAUACUACUAACUGUACUAUCGCAUAUGUCUUUGUCUCAUAGUGAUGCAACGGGGCCGGUAACGCAUCGCGUCUUCUAACCCGUAACAUAUCCAAAUCCCGAGUAUAUCCUAGGGCGAGUCGUUCCCAUCUGUUAUAUCCCGGAACGUCUCCCAAUUGUUUCGAAUGAUCUCUCGUGGAAAGGCACAACUACGAGAGAAAGAUGUAUCGCGUUAGAAUAUACCAAGUUUGAAUUUCAUUAGAAAUUUAUAAGAUCGUACUUUUAUUUGUUUAAUCAAUUGGUUCUCCAAGUUAUCGUAAAUUUGUUCGUCAGUUCCUCCAGUCCGUUCCUCGAAACAGUCUUCGCCGAAGAUCAAUUGGAAAUUUUCGUCCGUUUGACCGGUCAAGCCGUUCGCACUAAGUUCCAUUUUGGCAACUGGCGAUAAGGGUAUAGAAUUCAUAUCGACCGGUAAACCAGCCAUACUGGCUUGAAUCAAGGGCUGUAUUCCUUUAGCUUGUCUCAAAUAAUCGCGUGCCAAGUCCAAAUCUCCGUCCUUUUUGGCUUUUAACGCGGCCUCUUUCAAUUCGUAUUGACGUUGUUGCAACAUUGCCAUCUGUUUAUCCGCCCGCGUAGCGUGCUUUGGAUUUUUAUUUACCGCUUGAAAAAAGGAAAGAAAAGAAAAGAAGAGAAAAGAAAGGAACAGAUGAAAGAUAUAAAGUAACAAUCGAACAAGGGUGAAUAGGUAUUUAUAACCUAAUGAAUACCUAUAUUUGCUCGAGGAGGUGGCGCAUUUGUCCCGGACGUUCCCUCUGAAUUAGUUUUCGGUUUGGAUUUUUCAUCUUCUUCCUUCGGUCUCUCUGCUUCUGAUACGGCCGAUUGAAUAGAAAGUGGCGAAAAACCCGGCGGAACAGGAAGUUCAUCCAGAGGUACGGAUUUGCCACGUGCAUGUAAUUUAAUCGCUUCCUCGAACUGCUUGCAAAUACGGC